rnacentral:lncRNA from 1 species
GAAGAAUAAAAAUCUAAAAUUAAAUCAAUGUGACCCAGGACCAUAAAUACAUUUUAUUCUUUCUUUGUUUAUGCAUUUUGCAGGCAAAACUAGAAUCUUGACUUUAUUCAAAGAUCAAUUUUCUCUUGCAUACCUAUCAGUAACAAUAGAACAAGUUCAGUUUGCCUUUGGAGUUUCUCUUUUAGUUUUAAAUCACAUAAAAACCGUAUUUAAUCACCUUCUCACCAAUUUUAUACGACACAUCAUGACGUCCAAAUUCAAGCAAACCAACGCCUCUGACUCUGUAUUGAUCAGUGGACGAGGCGUUUUGUUCACAAUAAUUUCCGCCAUUCUGGCUGGCAUUGACAAAACCGAGGGCAAAGUGAAUAUAUUCUACUGGAUCAGGUUUAAC